rnacentral:rRNA from 1 species
UACGGGAGGCAGCAGUGGGGAAUAUUGCACAAUGGGCGCAAGCCUGAUGCAGCCAUGCCGCGUGUAUGAAGAAGGCCUUCGGGUUGUAAAGUACUUUCAGCAGUGAGGAAGGUGGAUAUGUUAAUAGCAUAUUCAUUUGACGUUAGCUGCAGAAGAAGCACCGGCUAACUCCGUGCCAGCAGCCGCGGUAAUACGGAGGGUGCGAGCGUUAAUCGGAAUUACUGGGCGUAAAGCGCAUGCAGGUGGUUUGUUAAGUCAGAUGUGAAAGCCCGGGGCUCAACCUCGGAAUUGCAUUUGAAACUGGCAAACUAGAGUACUGUAGAGGGGGUAGAAUUUCAGGUGUAGCGGUGAAAUGCGUAGAGAUCUGAAGGAAUACCGGUGGCGAAGGCGGCCCCCUGGACAGAUACUGACACUCAGAUGCGAAAGCGUGGGGAAGCAAACAGGAUUAGAUACCCUGGUAG